CUCGCCUAACGCCAUCGCUCACUGCGUCCCCUCCCACCGCGUCGAGGCCCCGUUCGGGCUGCCUCUCCGUGCACGUCAGCGCGCCAAGCUCGACACGCCAUAGCCUGCAGAGCCGCUACUUAGAGCCCUUGCCACAUUGCGCCGACCACUGUGCCCGGAGAACUGUCGUCAAACAUCACCAUCCAUGGUGCUACCCCGACCGGAUUCCGCUCGAGAUUAUCCACAUUGCAAUAAUUGCUCCGGAGAAGACGAAGGCAACCUGGAGGACUUACAAGAGUUUUAGAACUUCGAGAAGUUUUAGACUAGAUUAAUAUCAACCCCCAAUUAGCUUCCUGUGAAUGUCUUAUCUUUACUACGUUUUACUUUAACACUUUGAUUACUCGUUAAGUUGAUGACUAUGCGGAUGUCUUCAACUUUAUGAUGUAAUAAAUUAAUAUCUUUUUAUGUUA